rnacentral:tRNA from 1 species
UUUCUGAUGGCUCAAAGGGUAAAGAACCCGCCUGCAAUGCUGGAGACACAGGAGACACAGGUUCCAUCCCUGUUUGGGAAG